rnacentral:rRNA from 1 species
CCUACGGGGGGCAGCAGUAGGGAAUUUUCGUCAAUGGGCGCAAGCCUGAACGAGCAAUGCCGCGUGAACGAGGAAGGUCAUCGGAUCGUAAAGUUCUGUUGAAGGGGAAAAAGAGCGGAGAGAGGAAAUGGUCUCCGAUUGAUAUUACCCUUCGAGGAAGUCACGGCUAACUACGUGCCAGCAGCCGCGGUAAUACGUAGGUGGCGAGCGUUAUCCGGAAUGAUUGGGCGAAAAGGGUGCGUAGGCGGUCUGCUAAGUCUGGAGUGAAAGGUACCGGCUCAACCGGUACAGGCUCUGGAAACUGGCGGGCUAGAGAGCAGGAGAGGGCGGUGGAACUCCAUGUGUAGCGGUAAAAUGCGUAGAUAUAUGGAAGAACACCAGUGGCGAAGGCGGCCGCCUGGCCUGUUACUGACGCUGAGGCACGAAAGCGUGGGGAGCAAAUAGGAUUAGAUACCCGAGUAGUC